CAGCAGCCGCGGUAAUACCGGCGGCCCGAGUGGCGGCCACUAUUAUUGGGCCUAAAGCGUCCGUAGCCGGGUUGGGAAGUCCUCCGGGAAAUCUGGCCGCUUAACGGUCAGAAUGCCGGAGGAUACUCCCAGCCUAGGGAGCGGGAGAGGCCGAGGGUAUUCCCGGAGUAGGGGUGAAAUCCUAUAAUCCCGGGAGGACCACCUGUGGCGAAGGCGCUCGGCUGGAACGCGUCCGACGGUGAGGGACGAAGGCCAGGGGAGCAAACCGGAUUAGAUACCCGGGUAGUCCUGGCUGUAAACGAUGCGGACUUUGUGUCGGACAAGCUAUGAGCUUGUCCGGUGCCGGAGGGAAACCGUUAAGUCCGCCGCCUGGGGAGUACGGCCGCAAGGCUGAAACUUAAAGGAAUUGGCGGG
rnacentral:rRNA from 1 species